GGUACAUCGGUGACAGGUGGUGCAUGGUUGUCGUCAGCUCGUGUCGUGAGAUGUUGGGUUAAGUCCCGCAACGAGCGCAACCCCUAUUGUUAGUUGCCAUCAUUCAGUUGGGCACUCUAGCGAGACUGCCGGUAAUAAACCGGAGGAAGGUGGGAUGACGUCAAAUCAUCAUGCCCCUUAUGACCUGGGCUACACACGUGCUACAAUGGUUGGUACAACGAGUUGCGAGUCGGUGACGGCGAGCUAAUCUCUUAAAGCCAAUCUCAGUUCGGAUUGUAGGCUGCAACUCGCCUACAUGAAGUCGGAAUCGCUAGUAAUCGCGGAUCAGCACGCCCGCGGUCCGAAUACGUUCCGGCCUU
rnacentral:rRNA from 1 species